AGAAUCAACGCUGGCGGCGUGCCUAACACAUGCAAGUCGAACGCGAAAGGGGAGCAAUCCCUGAUUAGAGUGGCAAACGGGUGAGUAACACGUGGGUGACCUGCCUUCGAGUGGGGGAUAACCUUCCGAAAGGAGGGCUAAUACCGCAUGACAUACCGUGUUUGGAUACACGGAUAUCAAAGCCGGGGAUCGCAAGACCUGGCGCUUGAAGAGGGGCCCGCGUCCGAUUAGCUAGUUGGUGGGGUAACGGCUCACCAAGGCUCCGAU
rnacentral:rRNA from 1 species